ACUUGUAUAGUUUAUAUAAAACCUUCCAUUUUCAAUGGAAAAAAAAGAAAUCUUUAUAAGUA
rnacentral:tRNA from 1 species